rnacentral:piRNA from 1 species
GCCCAGGAGCUUGGGUGUGCUGACGAGC